UCCCCUACGGGGCGCAGCAGUGGGGAAUAUUGCACAAUGGGGGGAACCCUGAUGCAGCGACGCCGCGUGGGUGAAGGAGUACUUCGGUACGUAAAGCCCUAUCAGCAGGAAAGGAAAUGACGGUACCUGACUAAGAAGCCCCGGCUAACUACGUGCCAGCAGCCGCGGUAAUACGUAGGGGGCAAGCGUUAUCCGGAUUUACUGGGUGUAAAGGGAGCGUAGACGGCAGUGCAAGUCCAGAGUGAAAGCCCGGGGCUCAACCCUGGGACGGCUCUGGAAACUGUAACGCUGGAGUGCGUGAGGGG
rnacentral:rRNA from 1 species